CGGGGCGGGGAGAUGAGGGAGUGAAAGAUCACAUGGUUUACGAUGCGGCGGCGCGUGCAUUUGGGAUCAACUUCUCUGCCUAAAAUGCGACUGGUUUAAAGCUAGACAGGAAGUUCUCUCCCUAAAGUGAUUAUCAAAUAAGAGAAAACUCUAUGGUUGUAAAAACGACUCUCUCUCUCAAACAAUUACAGGGACAAAAAGGAAGGGAAACGGUUCAGCUUAAUACUGCAAGUUCUAAUAGAGAGAGACGGCAACGGUACUGCAGCCUACUGAAAGGUAGCGGAGCCGGAGGCACAAGACAAGUCUCAGACUGGCCUUUCUCUGCAGAUCAGACUUCGUAGCUACUUUUGACUCCAUGUGGGUUUCCCUUCUCUUUCGUUAGUCAAAGUCUUCACCCAGACUUCAGAGAGCUCACUGCAAAUGCACUGAGGGAUGAGAGAUAGCCCCAGGCUCUACCAAAAAUACAAGGACUACGGGACAAGAGAUUUUUGCCUCAGGCGCUGUAAAUCCCUCCCUCAUUUGAACUCCCCAAAACCCUGAUCGUAGUGAAGCAGGAGUAAACUGCCAUCUGGAAAACACUAUGAAAAAGGCGGAUCUGAAACUACACUUCUUUAGAUCCUUGGAAUCUCUUUGUUAAAAACAAAGGAAUAUCUACUCACAGCAUAGACUGGAAAGAGUUCUGGGCUGUUCAAGUCCCAGUCAUUGAUAUGAGAUCCUAUCUGCACGCCAGGAAAGCCAAGCAUCUUCACACAGCGAUACAUUUCCUUCACAGCCAUGUCUGGAGCUUGCAUGGGGAGCGUCCCAAGGCCAAUGAAUCUUUUUGGCUCUCAUGCCCGUAGAAGGAAGUCCACAUUUUCUGCAGAGCAGACAAGGAAGCUGAGCUCAUGGACUGAACUAGUUACAACAUGAGAGAUCCAUGAUCAAAUCCUGCAAAAUGUUUCCUUAAAAACUGAAGUGGAUAUACUGCUCCCAGGAUCCAGUCUAAAGACAGAUGAACCCCGCUGCCUAUGGACAGGAGCUAAAUCACAUCAAAGGGGUGUCUGAGGAACGGUUCCCAUAUGACUGCUUGAGAUUGCAAAGAUUUAAAUGGCAAAAGAAGUCAAACCUCAAAACUCAAAAGAGUGCAUGGACAAAAUCCCCUGCAUCCAUCUGGCUGAAAUUCAGAUGACCUCGCAAAGGUCUACCAUGCAUGAAGUUUUCAUCCCAUUCUGACAAGAAUCAACAAAGUUAUAAGCUGUGUUAGGCAUCAUCAUCUGAAUUUCUCAAGAAGCAAACACAUUAUCAUGAAGUAGUUAAGGAAAUGUGGCAUCAUGGGGAAAAAUCUGGUUCACUUGCUAUUGUUAUUCCCUUGCUAUUGCUAUUCUCUUACACCUGUUUUCUCAGGCUUUUAAUUAAAAUUAACUUUAAACUGUUCACUUGUCUUUAUCCUGUGAUAUUAUUUUAAUGGUUUCACUUUGUGAAUUGUUUUUGUUUUUUAUUCU